rnacentral:lncRNA from 1 species
CCCUUUGCCCAGUGCUUUAUAGCAUAUCGCCUCUUCUAUGGGGCUCCUCAAGAACUGUAUUCCAGAAAUUCCUGGAAAUGUGUCCUCUUCAGUAGGUGGUGUUUACAUCUUACCAUCUUACUGGACUCUUCCUGUGAGGCUCUUCACAUCCCUUUAAGAAGAGCAGCAUUUCCCUCGUGUGAAUGUAGAGGUAAGCUCAGCUCCCUGUUUGCCGGGAGUAUCUAAAGCAGUGGUUCUUACCCUGUGGGUUGAGACCCUCAGAGGGGUCGCAUCUCAGAUGAUAUCCUGCAGUCAGAGAUCCUGCACAUCAGAGAUCCUGCAAUCAGAGACCCUGCACAUCAGAGAUCCUGCAGUCAGAGAUCCUCCAGUCAGAGAUCCUGCACAUCAGAGACCCUGCACAUCAGAGAUCCUGGCUGAUGCUUACCACAAUGCCAAAGGAACUGUAUUAAAGGGUUGCAGCAUUAGGAAGGUUAAAAAUCACUGGAAAAAGGCAAAUGUCUGAACAAUAACUGUUUG